rnacentral:tRNA from 1 species
CGGCCCCGAAGAUGUCGCGGAACUCCGCGGCGGCCUGGCGGGCCUCCUGGUACUGGCCCAGGCGGAGCCGGGUCUGGAUCUCCCCGGAGGGGCAGCCC